rnacentral:rRNA from 1 species
UACGAAGGGGGCUAGCGUUGUUCGGAAUCACUGGGCGUAAAGGGCGCGUAGGCGGCUGUUCAAGUCGGGGGUGAAACUCCGUGGCUCAACCACGGAAUGGCCUUCGAUACUGGACGGCUCGAGACCGGAAGAGGUGAGUGGAACUGCGAGUGUAGAGGUGAAAUUCGUAGAUAUUCGCAAGAACACCAGUGGCGAAGGCGGCUCAGCUGGUCCGGUUCGACGCUGAGGCGCGAAAGCGUGGGGAGCAAACAGG